rnacentral:rRNA from 1 species
AACCUUUACACUGCACGACAGUGCGAUAGGGGGACUCCGAGUGCGGGGGCAUAGAGCCCUCGCUUUUGUACACCGUAAGGUGGUGUACGAAUAAGAACUGGGCAAGACCGGUGCCAGCCGCCGCGGUAAUACCGGCAGUUCGAGUGAUGGCCGAUUUUAUUGGGCCUAAAGCGUUCGUAGCUGGCCGAUCAAGUCUGUCGGGAAAUCUGCUCGCCUAACGAGCAGGCGUCCGGCGGAAACUGAUCGGCUUGGGACCGGAAGACUCGAGGGGUACGUCCGGGGUGGGAGUGAAAUCCUGUAAUCCUGGACGGACCACCAAUGGGGAAACCACCUCAGGAAGACGGACCCGACGGUGAGGAACGAAAGCUGGGGUCUCGAACCGGAUUAGAUACCCGGGUAGUCCCAGCUGUCAACGAUGCCCGCUAGGUAUGGCGCAGGCUACGAGCCUGUGCUAUGCCGUAGCGAAGGCGCUAAGCGGGCCGCCUGGGAAGUACGUUCGCAAGAAUGAAACUUAA